GACAGAGGUGCCGAGCGUUAGGCGGAAUCACUGGGCUUAAAGCGUGUGUAGGCGGGCCCGUAAGUACCUUGUGAAAUCCCACCGCUCAACGGUGGAACUGCUCGGUAUACUGCGGGUCUUGAGCCACCUAGGGGCAGCCGGAACAAGCGGUGGAGCGGUGAAAUGCGUAGAUAUCGCUUGGAACGCCAACGGUGAAAACAGACUGCUGGGGGUGUGCUGACGCUGAGACACGAAAGCCAGAGGAGCGAACGGG
rnacentral:rRNA from 1 species